rnacentral:rRNA from 1 species
ACGCACGCUGGCGGCGUGCUUCACACAUGCAAGUCGAACGGUGAAGGGAUCAGCUUGCUGGUUCUGGAUGAGUGGCGAACGGGUGAGUAACACGUGAGUAACCUGCCCCCUUCUUCUGGAUAACCGCAUGAAAGUGUGGCUAAUACGGGAUAUUCUGGGUCUGUCGCAUGAUGGGUCUGGGAAAGAUAUUGUUUCGGUGGGGGAUGGGCUCGCGGCCUAUCAGCUUGUUGGUGGGGUGAUGGCCUACCAAGGCGGUGACGGGUAGCCGGCCUGAGAGGGUGGACGGUCACACUGGGACUGAGACACGGCCCAGACUCCUACGGGAGGCAGCAGUGGGGAAUAUUGCACAAUGGGCGCAAGCCUGAUGCAGCGACGCCGCGUGAGGGAUGGAGGCCUUCGGGGUGUAAACCUCUUUCGCCAGUGAAGCAGGCCUGCUCCUUGUGGGUGGGUUGACGGUAGCUGGAUAAGAAGCGCCGGCUAACUACGUG